UACGUAGGGUGCGAGCGUUGUCCGGAAUUACUGGGCGUAAAGAGCUCGUAGGUGGUUUGUCGCGUUGUUCGUGAAAACCGGGGGCUUAACCCUCGGCGUGCGGGCGAUACGGGCAGACUUGAGUACUGCAGGGGAGACUGGAAUUCCUGGUGUAGCGGUGGAAUGCGCAGAUAUCAGGAGGAACACCGGUGGCGAAGGCGGGUCUCUGGCCCGGUACUGACGCUGAGGUGCGAAAGCGUGGGGAGCAAACAGGG
rnacentral:rRNA from 1 species